rnacentral:Y_RNA from 1 species
AGUUGGUCCGAUGGUAGUGGGUUAUCAGAACUUAUUAACAUUAGUGUCACUAAAGUUGGUAUUCAACCCCCCACUGCUAAAUUUGACUGGCUUUAA